rnacentral:rRNA from 1 species
UACGUAGGGUGCGAGCGUUAAUCGGAAUUACUGGGCGUAAAGCGUGCGCAGGCGGUUCGUUAUGUCCGAUGUGAAAGCCCCGAGCUUAACUUGGGAAUGGCAUUGGAAACUGGCGGGCUGGAGUGCGGCAGAGGGGGGGUGGAAUUCCACGUGUAGCAGUGAAAUGCGUAGAGAUGUGGAGGAACACCGAUGGCGAAGGCAGCCUUCUGGGCCAACACUGACGCUCAUGCACGAAAGCGUGGGGAGCAAACAGG